rnacentral:lncRNA from 1 species
AUGGGCGGAGUUCUGGGGGUGGGGCUUCAACAGGGUCCCCUCUAUGGGGCAGGGCUGAGGGGCCCCCUUAGAGGGUUGCAGGGAGCGCGGCUAGCGGGGGCUCUGGGCACUGCCAGGCUGCUGGUGCGGCUGCUGUUCCCGCUGCUGUUCCCGCUGCCGUUCCCGCUGCCGCUGCUGUUCCCGCUGCUGUUCCCGCUGCUGUUCCCGCUGCUGUUCCCGCUGCCGUUCCCGCUGCCGCUGCUGUUCCCGCCGCUGUUGCCGCUGCUGUUGCCGCUGCUGUUCCUGGUGCUGUUCCCGCUGCUGUUGCCGCUGCUGUUGCCGCUGCUGUUCCUGGUGCUGUUCCCGCUGCUGUUCCCGCUGCUGUUCCCGCUGCCGUUCCCGCUGCCGCUGCUGUUGCCGCUGCUGUUCCCGCCGCUGUUCCCGCCGCUGUUCCUGGUGCUGUUCCCGCUGCUGUUCCCGCUGCUGUUCCCGCUGCCGUUCCCGCUGCCGCUGCUGUUGCCGCUUCUGUUCCCGCUGCUGUUCCCGCCGCUGUUCCUGGUGCUGUUCCCGCUGCUGUUCCCGCUGCUGUUCCCGCUGCCGCUGCUGUUGCCGCUUCUGUUCCCGCUGCUGUUCCCGCUGCUGUUCCCGCUGCUGUUCCCGCUGCCGUUCCCGCUGCCGCUGCUGUUGCCGCUGCUGUUCCCGCUGCUGUUCCCGCCGCUGUUCCCGCCGCUGUUCCUGGUGCUGUUCCCGCUGCUGUUCCCGCUGCUGUUCCCGCUGCUGUUCCCGCUGCCGUUCCCGCUGCCGCUGCUGUUCCCGCUGCUGUUCCCGGUGUCGCUGCUGAUGCCGCUGCUGUUCCCGCUGCUGCCGCUCGCGGCGCUGCUGAGCGGGGGCGGGGCCCGCGGGGGCGCUGCACCGGCAGGGGGCGCUGCAGCCCGGCCGGUGCUGCGCCUGAGGGGUGCAGGAAGGACCCCAGAACGGACCCUCCCAGCCCCAGCUCUGCCCUGGAACCCCAAAUCCCCCCACUUCCUCAUGCCUUGGAGACCCCUCCCGAACUUCAGAACCCUCCACAAACUCACAAAACCUACCCUGGAACCCCAAAUCCCCUCAAACCUGCCCAUCCUGAAGGAUAAUAAAAAAUUAUUUUACAAAUACAUUAAUGGCAAAAGAAAGGGUAAAAACAAGCUCAGUUCACUACUGGAUGCAGAAGGGAAUUUAGUGAUUACAGAUGAGGAGAAGGCAGAGGUGUUUAACCCCCUUCUUUGCCUCAGUCUUUAUCAAAAGGACAGCUUGUCCUCAGGACAACUGUCCUCCUGGGCUGGUAGAUGGUGUCAGGGAGCAGGACGGUCCCUGUUAUCCAGGAGGAGGCAGUCAUAG